rnacentral:rRNA from 1 species
UGGGGAAUCUUCCGCAAUGGACGAAAGUCUGACGGAGCAACGCCGCGUGAGUGAUGACGGCCUUCGGGUUGUAAAGCUCUGUUAAUCGGGACGAAAGGCCUUCUUGCGAAUAGUUAGAAGGAUUGACGGUACCGGAAUAGAAAGCCACGGCUAACUACGUGCCAGCAGCCGCGGUAAUACGUAGGUGGCAAGCGUUGUCCGGAAUUAUUGGGCGUAAAGCGCGCGCAGGCGGAUUGGUCAGUCUGUCUUAAAAGUUCGGGGCUUAACCCCGUGAUGGGAUGGAAACUGCCAAUCUAGAGUAUCGGAGAGGAAAGUGGAAUUCCUAGUGUAGCGGUGAAAUGCGUAGAUAUUAGGAAGAACACCAGUGGCGAAGGCGACUUUCUGGACGAAAACUGACGCUGAGGCGCGAAAGCCAGGGGAGCGAACGGGAUUAGAUACCCCGGUAGUCCUGGCCGUAAACGAUGGGUACUAGGUGUAGGAGGUAUCGACCCCUUCUGUGCCGGAGUUAACGCAAUAAGUACCCCGCCUGGGGAGUACGCCGGCAACGGUG